GUGGAUUUGAUACCCCGGUAGUCCUAGCUGUAAACGAUGUUAACUUGGCGUCGGAGGCUUCAAAACCUUCGGUGCCGCAGCCAACGCGAUAAGUUAACCGCCUGAGGACUACGGCCGCAAGGUUAAAACUCAAAGGAAUUGACGGGUCCCCGCACAAGCAGCGGAGCGUGUGGUUUAAUUCGAUGCUACACGAAGAACCUUACCAAGGCUUGACAUGCAAGUAGUAGGAAACCGAAAGGUGACCGAUCCUUCGGGAAGCUUGCACAGGUGCUGCACGGCUGUCGCCAACU
rnacentral:rRNA from 1 species